ACGCUCGACACCUACGGGGGCAGCAGUAGGGAAUCUUCCACAAUGGACGCAAGUCUGAUGGAGCAACGCCGCGUGAGUGAAGAAGGUUUCGGAUCGUAAAGCUCUGUUGUUGGUGAAGAAGGAUAGAGGUAGUAACUGGCCUUUAUUUGACGGUAAUCAACCAGAAAGUCACGGCUAACUACGUGCCGGCAGCCGCGGUAAUCUGAGCGGGCUGGCAAGGC
rnacentral:rRNA from 1 species